UGACUUUCUUAUAAUUUGCCC
ensembl:piRNA 21ur-11598 ncRNA